rnacentral:rRNA from 1 species
AUUGAACGCUGGCGGCAUGCUUUACACAUGCAAGUCGAACGGUAACAGGCCGCAAGGUGCUGACGAGUGGCGAACGGGUGAGUAAUGCAUCGGAACGUGCCCAGUCGUGGGGGAUAACGCAGCGAAAGCUGCGCUAAUACCGCAUACGAUCUCUGGAUGAAAGCGGGGGACCGAAAGGCCUCGCGCGAUUGGAGCGGCCGAUGUCAGAUUGGGUAGUUGGUGGGGUAAAGGCCCACCAAGCAAAAGAUCUGUAGCUGGUCUGAGAGGGCGACCAGCCACACUGGGCCUGAGACACGGCCCAGACUCCUACGGGAGGCAGCAGUGGGGAAUUUUGGACAAUGGGCGCAAGCCUGAUCCAGCAAUGCCGCGUGCAGGAAGAAGGCCUUCGGGUUGUAAACUGCUUUUGUACGGAACGAAACGGUCCGGGUUAAUACCCUGGGCUAAUGACGGUACCGUAAGAAUAAGCACCGGCUAACUACGUGCCAGCAGCCGCCGUAAUAC